UGACCUCUUCUUUUUGUCAUGUGUUUACUGAGACUCCAGGUAUUUGAUAUCCUCCUGUUUCAUAUAGGAAGGAGUUUAAAUGUCCAGACUUAUUGGUGGAGCAUACAAGCCAUAUGCUUGUCGCAUUCAUCAGUGGGUCUCCCAGCACAUUCUAGCUGUAUUACCAAUUUGUGCCAUGCUUGUUGGAUGCACAUUCUUCAUCUGGAAAAUCUAUCUUAAACUAUGCAUGUCAAGAAGAGUUGAAGAGCUUUACAACCAGGUAUGUGAAAUACUCGAAGAGAAUGCAGUGAUGUCAAAGAAUGUUAAUGGUGAAUGUGAGCCUUGGAUUGUUGCCUCUAGACUACGAGAUCACCUACUUUUGCCAAGAGAGCGAAAGGACCCUUUGUUUGGGAAAAAGGUGGAAGAAUUGGUUCAAGAGGAUUCUCGAGUAGAUCGCUAUCCGAAGCUGGUGAAGGGCGAAUCCAAAGUGGUAUGGGAAUGGCAAGUUGAAGGCUCUCUAAGCUCUUCAAAGAUGAAGAGAAAAAUAGAUGCAAGCAAAAUGAAGGUCAGUGAAGGUGCAGAUCUAAGUUCCCAACAAUGUCCCAUUCCAAAGACUGAGGCUGAGGAACUACUUUUUUGACACAAGGUCUUCUUUGAAUAAUUACUCAAGUUUCAACUAUGCUGGCUGAAACAACUUGUAUAUCAGCCGAAGGCUAGUUCUACCUUGUUUGUAUAGAGAAAGAAACGUUGGACGUGUUUUAAACUCUGGGAUGUGAAGCCGACGGGUCCUCGAGGCCGGUAGAUCUUCUGUUUAUUGAGGAAGUGGUAGUGUGAUGUCAACAUAUAUUUAAUUAAUAUUUGUUCUUUCGAGUCAAAGAAUUUUUCUUCUUAGAGUCAGUAUAGUGUGUAUCAAGCAUGGAUAUAGGUGUAUGAUUGCUGCCCUCUUUUGACAAGUCAAAAUU